AGUGAACGCUGGCGGUAGGCCUAACACAUGCAAGUCGAACGGCAGCACAGUAAGAGCUUGCUCUUACGGGUGGCGAGUGGCGGACGGGUGAGGAAUACAUCGGAAUCUACUUUUUCGUGGGGGAUAACGUAGGGAAACUUACGCUAAUACCGCAUACGACCUACGGGUGAAAGCAGGGGAUCUUCGGACCUUGCGCGAUUGAAUGAGCCGAUGUCGGAUUAGCUAGUUGGCGGGGUAAAGGCCCACCAAGGCGACGAUCCGUAGCUGGUCUGAGAGGAUGAUCAGCCACCCUGGACCUGAGACACGGUCCAGACUCCUACGGGAGGCAGCAGUGGGGAAUAUUGGCCAAUGGGCGCAAGCCUGAUCCAGCCAUACCGCGUGGGUGAAGAAGGCCUUCGGGUUGUAAAGCCCUUUUGUUGGGAAAGAAAAGCAGCAGGUUAAUACCCCGCUGUUCUGACGGUACCCAAAGAAUAAGCACCGGCUAACUUCGU
rnacentral:rRNA from 1 species